rnacentral:rRNA from 1 species
UACGAAGGGGGCGAGCGUUGUUCGGAUUUACUGGGCGUAAAGGGCGCGCAGGCGGUUCUGAUUUGUCGAGUGUGAAAGCCCCGGGCUCAACCUGGGAACUGCGCUCGAAACGGCGGAACGUAGAGUUCGGGAGAGGAGGAAGUGGAAUUCCCAGUGUAGAGGUGAAAAUUCGUAGAUAUUGGGAAGAACACCGGUGGCGAAGGCGGCUCUCUGGGACCGAUACUGACGCUGAGGCGCGAAAGCGUGGGGAGCAAACAGG